rnacentral:rRNA from 1 species
UUAGAGUUUGACCUGGCUCAGGAUGAACGCUGGCGGCGUGCCUAACACAUGCAAGUCGAGCGAGAAACAAGGGACGGAGAUUUCGGUUGAAGUUUCUUGCGGAAAGCGGCGGACGGGUGAGUAACGCGUAGGCAACCUGCCCUUUGCAGAGGGAUAGCCUCGGGAAACCGGGAUUAAAACCUCAUGAUACUGAGAGCCCGCAUGGGCUUUUGGCCAAAGAUUUAUCGGCAGAGGAUGGGCCUGCGUCUGAUUAGUUAGUUGGUGGGGUAACGGCCUACCAAGGCGACGAUCAGUAGCCGACCUGAGAGGGUGAUCGGCCACAUUGGAACUGAGACACGGUCCAAACUCCUACGGGAGGCAGCAGUGGGGAAUCUUGCACAAUGGGCGAAAGCCUGAUGCAGCAACGCCGCGUGAGCGAAGAAGGCCUUUGGGUCGUAAAGCUCUGUCCUAAGGGAAGAAGGAAGUGACGGUACCUUAGGAGGAAGCCCCGGCUAACUACGUGCCAGCAGCCGCGGUAAUACGUAGGGGGCAAGCGUUAUCCGGAAUUAUUGGGCGUAAAGAGUACGUAGGCGGUUCUUUAAGCGCAGGGUUUAAGGCGAUAGCUUAACUAUCGUUCGCCCUGUGAACUGGGGGACUUGAGUAUCGGAGAGGAAAGCGGAAUUCCUAGUGUAGCGGUGAAAUGCGUAGAUAUUAGGAGGAACACCAGUGGCGAAGGCGGAUGACUGGACGACAACUGACGGUGAGGCGCGAAAGCGUGGGGAGCAAACAGGAUUAGAUACCCUGGUAGUCCACGCUGUAAACGAUCAAUACUAGGUGUGCGGGGACUGACCCCCUGCGUGCCGGAGUUAACACAAUAAGUAUUGCACCUGGGGAGUACGAUCGCAAGGUUGAAACUCAAAGGAAUUGACGGGGGCCCGCACAAGCGGUGGAUUAUGUGGUUUAAUUCGAAGCAACGCGAAGAACCUUACCAGGGCUUGACAUCCUACUAACGAAGUAGAGAUACAUCAGGUGCCCUUCGGGGAAAGUAGAGACAGGUGGUGCAUGGUUGUCGUCAGCUCGUGUCGUGAGAUGUUGGGUUAAGUCCCGCAACGAGCGCAACCCUUACCUUCAGUAGCCAGCACGUAAUGGUGGGCACUCUGGAGGGACUGCCGGGGACAACCCGGAGGAAGGUGGGGAUGACGUCAAAUCAUCAUGCCCCUUAUGAUUUGGGCUACACACGUGCUACAAUGGCGUAAACAAAGGGAGGCAAAGGAGUAAUCUGGAGCAAACCCCAAAAAUAACGUCUCAGUUCGGACUGUGGUCUGCAACCCGACCACACGAAGCUGGAAUCGCUAGUAAUCGCGAAUCAGAAUGUCGCGGUGAAUACGUUCCCGGGUCUUGCACACACCGCCCGUCA